rnacentral:rRNA from 1 species
UGUCCAGACUCCUACGGGAGGCAGCAGUGGGGAAUAUUGCACAAUGGGGGAAACCCUGAUGCAGCGACGCCGCGUGAGUGAAGAAGUAUUUCGGUAUGUAAAGCUCUAUCAGCAGGGAAGAAAAUGACGGUACCUGAUUAAGAAGCCCCGGCUAACUACGUGCCAGCAGCCGCGGUAAUACGUAGGGGGCAAGCGUUAUCCGGAUUUACUGGGUGUAAAGGGAGCGUAGACGGCAGCGCAAGUCUGAAGUGAAAUGCCGGGGCUUAACCCCGGGACUGCAUUGGAAACUGUGCGGCUGGAGUGUCGGAGAGGCAAGUGGAAUUCCUAGUGUAGCGGUGAAAUGCGUAGAUAUUAGGAGGAACACCAGUGGCGAAGGCGGCUUGCUGGACGACGACUGACGUUGAGGCUCGAAAGCGUGGGGAGCAAACAGGAUUAGAUACCCCCGUAC